rnacentral:tRNA from 1 species
AUUCAACAAAAACGUUUCUGGAGGUAUGGGGAAUUGAACCCCAGCCCUCUCCCAUGCUAAGGGAGCGCUCUACCACUGAGCUAUACCCCCGAACG